GCGCCAGUAGUGUAGCGGUUAUCAUUGUUGCCUUCCAUUUCAUGUGAGCAUCAGACCUGGGUUCGACUCCCGGCUGGCGCA